rnacentral:rRNA from 1 species
GGAUUAGGCAUGCAAGUCGCACGGGAAAGCCCGCAAGGGUGAGUAGAGUGGCGUAAGGGUGAGCAAUACAUAGGUAACCUGCCCGCGAGACUGGGAUAACCCACCGAAAGGUGGGCUAAUACCGGAUAUGAUCACGGGGUCGCAUGGCCCUGGGAUGAAAGCGGGGGACCCCUCGGGGCCUCGCACUUGUGGAGGGGCCUAUGUCCUAUUAGCUAGUUGGUGGGGUAAUGGCCUACCAAGGCUUCGAUGGGUAGCCGAUCUUGGAGGAUGACCGGCCACACUGGAACUGAGACACUGUCCAGACUCCUACGGGAGGCUGCAGUCGAGAAUCUUCUGCAAUGGGCGCAAGCCUGACAGAGCGACGCCGCGUGGGGGAAGAAGGCUUUCGAGUUGUAAACCCCUGUCACGGGUUAAGAAGGGUGUUCUGCCUAACAGGUAGGGCUCUCUGACAAAGGCCCGAGAGGAAGCCACGGCUAACUCCGUGCCAGCAGCCGCGGUAAUUCGGAGGUGGCAAGCGUUGUUCGGAACCACUGGGCGUAAAGGGCGCGUAGGCGGCGGUGCAAGUCUGUGGUGAAAUCCCCCGGCUCAACCGGGGAAUGGCCGCAGAUACUGCAUUGCUCGAGGGUGAGAGGGGAGAGUGGAACUUCUGGUGGAGCGGUGAAAUGCGUAGAUAUCAGAAGGAACGCCGGAGGCGAAAGCGACUCUCUGGCUCACAUCUGACGCUGAGGCGCGAAAGCUAGGGGAGCAAAAGGGAUUAGAUACCCCUGUAGUCCUAGCCGUAAACGAUGGGCACUAAGUAGAGGGGUUUU